AUUGAGCGCUGGCGGCAGGCCUAACACAUGCAAGUCGAACGGUAACAGAAAGCAGCUUGCUGCUUUGCUGACGAGUGGCGGACGGGUGAGUAAUGUCUGGGAAACUGCCUGAUGGAGGGGGGUAACUACUGGAAACGGUAGCUAAUACCGCAUAACGUCGCAAGACCAAAGAGGGGGACCUUCGGGCCUCUUGCCAUCGGAUGUGCCCAGAUGGGAUUAGCUUGUUGGUGGGGUAACGCUCACCAAGGCGACGAUCCCCUAGCUGGUCUGAGAGGAUGACCAGCCACACUGGAACUGAGACACGGGUCCAGACUCCUACGGGAGGCAGCAGU
rnacentral:rRNA from 1 species